rnacentral:rRNA from 1 species
UACGGAGGGGGCGAGCGUUGUCCGAAUUCAUUGGGCGUAAAGAGCGUGUAGGCGGCCUGACAGGUCUGCUGUGAAAACUCGAGGCUCAACCUCGAGAUGUCGGCGGAAACCGUCUGGCUAGAGUCCGGAAGAGGAGAGUGGAAUUCCUGGUGUAGCGGUGAAAUGCGCAGAUAUCAGGAAGAACACCUAUGGCGAAGGCAGCUCUCUGGGACGGUACUGACGCUGAGACGCGAAAGCGUGGGGAGCGAACAGG